CAAAGUUGUUGACAGGUGAAGUUCACGACCCGUAACGGGAUAAGUUUACGCUAAUUGAUUAUGUACAGCAUCAUAUGUGUAUAUAAAGUAUCAGCACACAUGAAUGAAUUGAGACAUGUUUAGUGACCCAAUGUAUUGUGUUCAAAGGCUCCAUCCAACAGUUCAAAGACAUCAGGUCAUAGCAGUGGAGCAAAUGGUGGCAAAUGAUGGCUUUGUGGUUGUUAGUGAAAAACUGUGGCAAUCUACAUUGGUGGUGGCAAACACUGACAGAAAAUUUCUGGACCAGCAGUGACAUCAAGUUGAAAAUAAUGACAUAUUUUACACUGUACUGAAGAUAUAAUUGCGAAAAUUAUUUAAGAAAUAAUAUAUCUCAUUCAGUGAUUUGUCGCUGAAUAAAUCAUUGUUUGGAGUUCAGAUGCGAAGGAAUUAUAUCACGAGGGCGCAACAUUACUGAAAGGAUUUUCUUCAAACAACUACAAUUACAUUGCAUCCAAAAUCAGUGGCACAGAAACCGGUAGGGGACUAUGUAUUGCCUUGCAAUACUUCAGCAGCUUGUUGUUUUAUAUGUGUAACCUGUAAAUGAAUAUUGGUGUGUUUUAUAAAGUUAAGAAGUCCUA